GACGAACGCUGGCGGCGUGCCUAAUACAUGCAAGUAGAACGCUGCAGGUGGAGCUUGCUUCUCCGGAUGAGUUGCGAACGGGUGAGUAACGCGUAGGUAACCUGCCUGGUAGCGGGGGAUAACUAUUGGAAACGAUAGCUAAUACCGCAUAACAGUAGAUCUCGCAUGAUAUCUGCUUGAACGGUGCAAUUGCCUCCCUACCAGAUGGACCUGCGUUGUAUUAGCUAGUUGGUGAGGUAACGGCUCACCAAGGCGACGAUACAUAGCCGACCUGGGCGGCUGAUCGGCGACACUGGGACUGAGACACCGCCAAGACUGCUACGGGAGGCAGCAGUAGGGAAUCGUCCGCAGUGGACGGAAGUCUGACAGAGCGACGCCGCGUGAGUGAAGAAGGUUUUCGGAUCGUAAAGCUUUGUUGUAAGAGAAGAACGAGUGUGAGAGUGGAAAGUUCACACUGUGACGGUGGCUUACCAGAAAGGGACAGCUAACUACGUG
rnacentral:rRNA from 1 species